rnacentral:lncRNA from 1 species
AAAGCCAUUUUCAAUGGCUUAUUCUUAACAAAACACCUCUAGAUCUCGUCUCUUUACAACACCCCCCACCAUAGCCUCUUCUUCAUCUACACACCUAAAUAGACCUGAAACCAAACGGUCCCCUACUGAACUUCAGCUUCUUCUGCGCCUCAAGGACAAGACCUAACGCCUAAGGAGCUUCAGCCGAAAACCUGAAACAGUAGCCAUGCGCACAAACUCAAGAAAAGGAACGAACAAAGCUUCUUCAAAAAGAAAUCAGUUUCUGCUUUGUUUAAGUUUUUCGAGUAGAAUAUGAGGUUUUUCCAGUGAGUUUCGAGUGCAAGUCGGGGUCGAGGUUUGCGGUUUCAUUCGAGUUGUUCUCAGUUUCAAUCUUUGAUUGAAGCUGUGGUUGUACUCUGUUCGUG